GAAAUGCGAUACUUGGUGUGAAUUGCAGAAUCCCGCGAAUCAUCGAGUUUUUGAACGCAAGUUGCGCCCGAAGCCAUUCGGCCGAGGGCACGUCUGCCUGGGUGUCACGCAUCGUUGCCCCCCCAAACUCCGGUUCGGGCGGGGCGGAAGUUGGCCUCCCGUGCGUGCCUGCGCGCGCGGUUAGCCCAAAAGCGAGUCCUCGGCGACGAGCGCCACGACAAUCGGUGGUUUUUUUACCCUCGUUCCUCGUCGUGCGUGUCCCGUCGCCCGAACGCGCUCUUGUGACCCUCACGCGUCGCCUCGGCGGCACUCCCAACGCGACCCCAGGUCAGGCGGGACUACCCGCUGAGUUUAAGC
rnacentral:misc_RNA from 1 species